ACGCUCGACACCUACGGGAGGCAGCAGUGGGGAAUAUUGCACAAUGGGGGAAACCCUGAUGCAGCGACGCCGCGUGAGUGAAGAAGUAUUUCGGUAUGUAAAGCUCUAUCAGCAGGGAAGAGAAUGACGGUACCUGACUAAGAAGCCCCGGCUAACUACGUGCCGNNGNGCGAUNUGNGCGGCGNGCGAGAG
rnacentral:rRNA from 1 species